UCAUCCAAUAAUUUCAUUUAU
rnacentral:piRNA from 1 species